rnacentral:lncRNA from 1 species
UGCCUCAGAAUAAAAAAGGCUGGGAUUAGCUCAGUGGUAGAGCAGCCUGGGUUCCCAACAAGCCAAAAAAAGAAAAGAACCAGAUGCGGAGCAUGCUCGGACAGCGUUUCUAGGCAGGUGCCAUGGUCCGAGAAGGCUGUUGUGGAUCGCUUCUCCCCUGAUCCGAGGGAGAAAUGAGGCAUGCCGAACAGGCGCGUCACCAUUUGUUACCAGUGGCAGUAACAGUAGUGGUUGAUGGGAAAACAGCUGGCUUGUACUGCCGGGUGGUGAGGGCUGGGCUUCCUGGGACAGUGGACUCCCCUCCUGUGUGUGCCUGAGUGUGUGCUGAGCCGUGCGAGGCUUGGCCACAGCUCCCCCGGGAGAGGGCCCGGCACCGUGUCUGUUCUUGCUCCUUUCCUUGAACGUCCUGUACUGGGUGGAGCAUGUGCCCUGGAGAGAGCAGUAGGGUGAGGAGGGUGUGAGGCUCUUGAGGGGGCUUCCGGGGCUGACAGGGGAGGAGGUGCCCACGCAGCACCUGUAAUGGAGGGACAGCAAGACCCUGAGUAGCACAGAUCAUGGCCGCGCACUCAGGACCACCUUCUUACGCUGCACUACAGCCUCCGUCUGCAGCCUGCCCCCGCAGGUGGGAAGGUCCGCCUUGUCUGUUCCUGUCGCUGAGUGUGCCCAUGAAGCUCAACUCGCAGGCCUGGGCCCUGCCUGGAGAGGUCAGUGUGUCGUUUCCUGGACAUCCGUGGCCCCCGGUGUGUUUGUUCUGACCAUGUGGUGCCCAGGACUGGGGCUGGGAACCCUGGUGCUCAGCUUCCCUGCCUGGCUCAACCCAGUGGGACAGAAUUGUUCUGUCUGCACCAGGGGAUGACCCUCUUCUGUCCCUGGUGGCAGCAAAGGCACUUAGCACAGCCUCUGUACCUCUGAGGCCCCACGAGAGAGCGGCCUGCACGACUAGCCCUGAGCCCACGUGCAAGUCGGCAAGUCAUUCCUUUAGUCCAGGGCAAGGCCUGAGGACGGCAGGGGUGGGAGGCACCCAGAGGGCCUGGGAAGCUCCCGGGGGGAUGCUGGGAUGCUGCUGAGAGAGAGGCUGAGCACCACAGCAGUGGAGUGGCCAGAACGAAGGGGAGGCAGGUGUGGACCCCAGGAUGCCAUCUGUGGGGUCACAAAGGCUUCCAGCCCCACAGAGGACAGGCAGGUGUGUCUGUGGGAACACAGAGAUAUGGCUGGGAGUGGGAGAGGAGGCCCCCAGGCCAUCCCAAGGCUGUGGCCCUCAGGCAGUGUGGACAGCGGCUGGGCCUACACUGGAGUACUCCACCCACAACAGUCAC